UUGGGUAAAUAAAAUGUCCUUUGGGAAAACGUCUUAACGGUUCUAUUUCUAUCAGAUAUUUUCCAUUUUUCUCCACUUUCAUCACAGCAGUCGUUCUCCUUCCUCUCUGUCCAUCAGCCGCCGCCUCUCCUCCUUAUCUAUGUUUCAUUGGCCUUACCUCCGAAUUCGAGUCUCGUCAUCUCGUCGUCUUUUCCAAAUUUGCAUUUUGAAGAAACCCCAAAAUCUAGCUUUCCAAUCCUAUCAAGAAACCAUGACAUCCCCUCUUCUACCCUAACCAACGCCGCAAAUGGAUCGCUGAGCAGACCCAUGCCCAGUGCGUGCGCCGUGCCGACGAAGUCACUCGCGAGGUGGAGAUGAUGAAAGCUGUUAGCUUUAUGUAUAUUCGUCCGCCUGGUUAUAAUGCUGAAAGUGCCAAAGCGGCCGAGAUUACUGAUGAGAGGAAAAAAACUGAUCAUAACAACGUAUCCGAUGAUCAUUCUACCGAUGUGCCUUCUACAGAAAUGCAGCAGGAAUCUUUGCCCGGUGGAGGUGCUACUACUAAAGAGAAACGGAAAUCAAGACCUAAAGAUGUUUUUGGACGUUCUUUACCGACAGAGGAAGAGUUUGAAGUUCUUAAAAAUGCUCCAUAGUAUGUAUCAAUAGUAGCUUCUGCAAUAUUAACCAAUGGCUGGAGACUGGUGUUCCUGGUAAGGUUAAACCAUUUGCUGUUGAAGUCCAUAAUGUAAAAUAUCUUAGAUACGAAAAUUAUGGUCACCAGAGUGGUGAUCGUCAUUGUCCAUUGAAGGGUGCUAUAAUACCAAAUGAAGAGAGUCGCUUAAAAAGAGAUGACCCAUUGACUGCUAUCAUGGCUCAAAUGGAUCCUACUGAGGUUGGUAUUACUUCUUUAUUGGUUCUGUUGAAAUUAUUGAAAGGUAUUAAAGCUUUAUUGCUCCAAAUAAUUAUUAAAUGGGGGGUUUGGUUGUUUUUCAAGCUUGGUUCUUGAAUUAGCCUUUUUUUUUUUUUUGGUAAUCUCUUGAAUUAGCUUUUGUGUGCAAGGGAAAGGGUAUUUGGUAUAUUUGGUUUUUGUCUUAUUAAGAGACUGAGAUUUUUUGGAAUUGGAAUUUGUUUCUUAAAUUGUUAAGAGAUUGGGAUUUAAGACCGAUUGCCAUUUUGGGUUUUUAUUUAGCACAUAUAUAUAGGAAAUUAUUUUUCAUUUUUUCAUUUGUUUAAUAGUCUGUUUCCAAUUAUUUUUUCAUUUUCUGUUUGUUUUAAACUCUAAAUGUUAAACUUUUGUUUUAUCAGAGAAUAUCAAUCUGAAUAUUUUGUUGCAAUGCAGCAUGUUUGACAGUAUAAAAAGCUAGUUCAUCUACCAUUUUCUGUUGUUUGAAGUCUGAACUUUAGGGGUAAAUGUGAAGAUUCUAACUGUGUAAAGUUUCAUGUCUCUUGAGGCACCAUUGGCUCGCAUGCAGCUUGUGAUGUAUGCACUAUUGUAAGGCUUGAGUUAGCAUCUUCCAUCCUUUACAGGCAAUAAAAGUUUGUUUCUACUAUACUGCAGUGAGAAGAAACCUGUAUAUUUUUGCCUUUGUACUUCCAUUCUGACAUGCACGCUCUGACAUGUUUGAUAGUUUUUGAUUAUGUUACCAUGUUAUAGACUGAUAAAGCUGUAAAUUUGCUUGUAGUAAUGUAAUGUAUCUAUGCAUGCAUGACAUGCCAUUACAUUUGUUGUGCAUAUUAUGAUCUUUAAGCCUAA